rnacentral:rRNA from 1 species
GUGGGGAAUUUUGGACAAUGGGCGCAAGCCUGAUCCAGCCAUGCCGCGUGAGUGAAGAAGGCCUUCGGGUUGUAAAGCUCUUUCGGCCGGAACGAAAUCGUCCGGGCUAAUACCCCGGAUGGAUGACGGUACCGGAAGAAGAAGCACCGGCUAACUACGUGCCAGCAGCCGCGGUAAUACGUAGGGUGCAGGCGUUAAUCGGAAUUACUGGGCGUAAAGCGUGCGCAGGCGGCUUCCUAAGUCAGAUGUGAAAUCCCCGGGCUUAACCUGGGAACUGCGUUUGAAACUGGGAGGCUAGAGUGCGGCAGAGGGGGGUGGAAUUCCACGUGUAGCAGUGAAAUGCGUAGAUAUGUGGAGGAACACCGAUGGCGAAGGCAGCCCCCUGGGCCAGCACUGACGCUCAUGCACGAAAGCGUGGGGAGCAAACAGGAUUAGAAACCCGAGUAGUCC